rnacentral:rRNA from 1 species
UACAGAGGUCCCAAGCGUUGUUCGGAUUCACUGGGCGUAAAGGGUGCGUAGGCGGUCGGGUAAGUCUGAUGUGAAAUCUCACAGCUUAACUGUGAAACUGCAUUGGAUACUAUCCGGCUAGAGGAAUGGAGGGGAGACUGGAAUACUUGGUGUAGCAGUGAAAUGCGCAGAUAUCGGGAGGAACACCGGUGGCGAAGGCGGUUCUCUGGGCCUUACCUGACGCUGAGGAGCGAAAGCGUGGGGAGCGAACAGG